rnacentral:rRNA from 1 species
GAUCUGCGAUUACUAGCGACUCCGACUUCAUGAGGUCGAGUUGCAGACCUCAAUCCGAACUGAGACCGGCUUUUUGGGAUUAGCUCCACCUCACAGUAUCGCAACCCUUUGUACCGGCCAUUGUAGCAUGCGUGAAGCCCAAGACAUAAGGGGCAUGAUGAUUUGACGUCAUCCCCACCUUCCUCCGAGUUGACCCCGGCAGUCUCCCAUGAGUCCCCACCAUCACGUGCUGGCAACAUGGAACGAGGGUUGCGCUCGUUGCGGGACUUAACCCAACAUCUCACGACACGAGCUGACGACAACCAUGCACCACCUGUAUACCGACCCCAAAGGGGAAGAACCAUCUCUGGAACGAUCCGGUAUAUGUCAAGCCUUGGUAAGGUUCUUCGCGUUGCAUCGAAUUAAUCCGCAUGCUCCGCCGCUUGUGCGGGCCCCCGUCAAUUCCUUUGAGUUUUAGCCUUGCGGCCGUACUCCCCAGGCGGGGCACUUAAUGCGUUAGCUACGGCGCGGAAAACGUGGAAUGUCCCCCACACCUAGUGCCCAACGUUUACGGCAUGGACUACCAGGGUAUCUAAUCCUGUUCGCUCCCCAUGCUUUCGCUCCUCAGCGUCAGUAACAGCCCAGAGACCUGCCUUCGCCAUCGGUGUUCCUCCUGAUAUCUGCGCAUUCCACCGCUACACCAGGAAUUCCAGUCUCCCCUACUGCACUCUAGUCUGCCCGUACCCACUGCACACCCGGGGUUAAGCCCCGGGCUUUCACAGCAGACGCGACAAACCGCCUACGAGCUCUUUACGCCCAAUAAUUCCGGACAACGCUUGCGCCCUACGUAUUACCGCGGCUGCUGGCACGUAGUUAGCCGGCGCUUCUUCUGCAGGUACCGUCACUUGUGGCUUCUUCCCUGCUGAAAGAGGUUUACAACCCGAAGGCCGUCAUCCCUCACGCGGCGUCGCUGCAUCAGGCUUUCGCCCAUUGUGCAAUAUUCCCCACUGCUGCCUCCCGUAGGAGUCUGGGCCGUGUCUCAGUCCCAGUGUGGCCGGUCACCCUCUCAGGCCGGCUACCCGUCGUCCCCUUGGGGAGCCAUUACCUCACCAACAAGCUGGUAAGGCCGUGAGCCCAUCCAAGACCAGUAAACCCUUUCCACCACCACCAUG